GACGAACGCUGGCGGCGUGCCUAAUACAUGCAAGUAGAACGCUGAAGAGAGGAGCUUGCUCUUCUUGGAUGAGUUGCGAACGGGUGAGUAACGCGUAGGUAACCUGCCUGGUAGCGGGGGAUAACUAUUGGAAACGAUAGCUAAUACCGCAUAAAAUUGAUUAUUGCAUGAUAAUUAAUUGAAAGAUGCAACUGCAUCACUACCAGAUGGACCUGCGUUGUAUUAGCUAGUUGGUGAGGUAACGGCUCACCAAGGCGACGAUACAUAGCCGACCUGAGAGGGUGAUCGGCCACACUGGGACUGAGACACGGCCCAGACUCCUACGGGAGGCAGCAGUAGGGAAUCUUCGGCAAUGGGGGGAACCCUGACCGAGCAACGCCGCGUGAGUGAAGAAGGUUUUCGAAUCGUAAAGCUCUGUUGUAAGAGAAGAACGGGUGUGAGAGUGGAAAGUUCACACUGUGACGGUAUCUGACCAGAAAGGGACGGCUAACUACGU
rnacentral:rRNA from 1 species